GAUGAAGAACGCAGCGAAAUGCGAUAAGUAAUGUGAAUUGCAGAAUUCAGUGAAUCAUCGAAUCUUUGAACGCACAUUGCGCCCCUUGGUAUUCCAUGGGGCAUGCCUGUUCGAGCGUCAUUUGUACCUUCAAGCUCUGCUUGGUGUUGGGUGUUUGUCUCGCCUCUGCGUGUAGACUCGCCUCAAAACAAUUGGCAGCCGGCGUAUUGAUUUCGGAGCGCAGUACAUCUCGCGCUUUGCACUCAUAACGACGACGUCCAAAAGUACAUUUUUACACUCUUGACCUCAGAUCAGGUAGGGAUACCCGCUGAACUUAAGCAUAUCAAUAAGCGGAGGA
rnacentral:misc_RNA from 1 species